UAGGGAAUAUUAGACAUGGACGGAAGUCUGAUCUAGCAACACCGCGUGUGCGGAGAAGGCCUUCGGGUUGUAAAGCCCUUUUUGGAAGGAUUAGGAAGGAAUGUACUUCCAGAAUAAGUCUCGGCUAACUACGUGCCAGCAGCCGCGGUAACACGUAGGAGGCAAACGUUAUCCGGAUUUACUGGGCGUAAAGCGCGUGUAGGUGGUUCUGUAAGUAGGGCGUGAAAGCUCCUGGCUCAACUGGGAGAGGCCGGUCGAAACUGCAGAGCUAGAGGAUGGUAGAGGGAGGUGGAAUUCCGGGUGUAGCGGUGGAAUGCGCAGAUAUCCGGAGGAACACCAGUGGCGAAAGCGGCCUCCUGGACCAUUCCUGACACUCAGACACGAAAGCUAGGGUAGCAAACG
rnacentral:rRNA from 1 species